rnacentral:rRNA from 1 species
AGAGUUUGAUCCUGGCUCAGGAUGAACGCUGACAGAAUGCUUAACACAUGCAAGUCUACUUGAUCCUUCGGGUGAUGGUGGCGGACGGGUGAGUAACGCGUAAAGAACUUGCCUUGCAGUCUGGGACAACGUCUGGAAACGGACGCUAAUACCGGAUAUUAUGAUUGAAUCGCAUGAUUUGAUUAUGAAAGCUAUAUGCGCUGCGAGAGAGCUUUGCGUCCCAUUAGUUAGUUGGUGAGGUAACGGCUCACCAAGACGAUGAUGGGUAGCCGGCCUGAGAGGGUGAACGGCCACAAGGGGACUGAGACACGGCCCUUACUCCUACGGGAGGCAGCAGUGGGGAAUAUUGGACAAUGGACCAAAAGUCUGAUCCAGCAAUUCUGUGUGCACGAUGAAGUUUUUCGGAAUGUAAAGUGCUUUCAGUUGGGAAGAAGAAAGUGACGGUACCAACAGAAGAAGCGACGGCUAAAUACGUGCCAGCAGCCGCGGUAAUACGUAUGUCGCAAGCGUUAUCCGGAUUUAUUGGGCGUAAAGCGCGUCUAGGCGGUUUGGUAAGUCUGAUGUGAAAAUGCGGGGCUCAACUCCGUAUUGCGUUGGAAACUGCCAAACUAGAGUACUGGAGAGGUAGGCGGAACUACAAGUGUAGAGGUGAAAUUCGUAGAUAUUUGUAGGAAUGCCGAUGGGGAAGCCAGCCUACUGGACAGAUACUGACGCUAAAGCGCGAAAGCGUGGGUAGCAAACAGGAUUAGAUACCCUGGUAGUCCACGCCGUAAACGAUGAUUACUAGGUGUUGGGGGUCGAACCUCAGCGCCCAAGCUAACGCGAUAAGUAAUCCGCCUGGGGAGUACGUACGCAAGUAUGAAACUCAAAGGAAUUGACGGGGACCCGCACAAGCGGUGGAGCAUGUGGUUUAAUUCGACGCAACGCGAGGAACCUUACCAGCGUUUGACAUCCCAAGAAGUUAACAGAGAUGUUUUCGUGCCUCUUCGGAGGAACUUGGUGACAGGUGGUGCAUGGCUGUCGUCAGCUCGUGUCGUGAGAUGUUGGGUUAAGUCCC